CCUACGGGGGGCAGCAGUAGGGAAUAUUGCUCAAUGGGGGAAACCCUGAAGCAGCAACGCCGCGUGGAGGAUGAAGGUUUUCGGAUUGUAAACUCCUUUUGUUAGAGAAGAUAAUGACGGUAUCUAACGAAUAAGCACCGGCUAACUCCGUGCCAGCAGCCGCGGUAAUACGGAGGGUGCAAGCGUUACGCGGGAUCACUGGGCGUAAAGAGCGCGUAGGCGGGAUAGCAAGUCAGAUGUGAAAUCCUAGGGCUUAACCAUAGGACUGCAUUUGUAACUGUUAUUCUAGAGUAUGGGAGAGGUAGGUGGAAUUCUUGGUGUAGGGGUAAAAUCCGUAGAGAUCAAGAGGAAUACUCAUGGCGAAGGCGACCUGCUAGAACAUAACUGACGCUGAUGCGCGAAAGCGUGGGGAGCAAACAGGAUUAGAUACCCCUGUAGUC
rnacentral:rRNA from 1 species